rnacentral:rRNA from 1 species
GAAUGUCAAAUUUCUAGUAUGAGAAAUUAACGAUUUAAGUCCUUCUUAAAUGAGGCCAUUUACCCAUAGAGGGUGCCAGGCCCGUAUAACGUUAAUGAUUACUAGAUGGCAUUUCCAAAGAGUCGUGUUGCUUGAUAGUGCAGCACUAAGUUGGUGGUAAACUCCAUCUAAAACUAAAUAUAACCAUGAGACCGAUAGUAAACAAGUACCGUGAGGGAAAGUUGAAAAGAACUCUGAAUAGAGAGUUAAAUAGUACGUGAAACUGCUUAGAGGUUAAGCCCGAUGAACCUGAAUAUCCAUUAUAGAAAAUUCAUCAUUAUGACUUAAAUAUAUUUUAAUAAUAGUGUGCAUUUUUUCUAUAGAGGACAUUGUAAUCUAUUAACAAUUUAUCAUAAGAUCAGCUUAAGUUUACUCAAAUUAUUUUGCUCAAUUUAACAUAGAAUAAAUGCUAUUGAUUUGAUAAAGUGUUGAUAGAUUUAAUAUACAGUGCUUGAAUAAUAUUGUAUAAUAGCAUAUUAAUUAUUAAUUUUUAUGUUUAUUUUAUGCACUUGUAUGAUUAACAAUGCGAAAGAUUCAGGAUACCUUCGGGACCCGUCUUGAAACACGGACCAAGGAGUCUAACAUAUUUGCAAGUUAUUGGGAGAAACCUAAUAGCGAAAUUAACAUAACUUAUGGGAUUAGUUUUUAGCCUAGUCUAUUAAUUCAAUCCCGGGGCGUUCUAUACAGUUAUGUAUAAUAAUAUUUAUAUUAUUUAUACCUCUAACUAGAGCGUACCUUGAGCAUAUAUGCUGUGACCCGAAAGAUGGUGAACUAUACUUGAUCAGGUUGAAGUCAGGGGAAA